UAGAAACCUUUAUAUUACUAUCGAGAAACGAUGAUAAAAAUUUCAAAAGGGAUACUCAACCCCUUCUAUUUUUUUUAAUUUUUUUUUUUCUCUAAGACAACACCUAUGUACCAUUUCUUCAAAUGUCUAUAUCUCUGCUCGUGGACACUACAUUUUGUUGUAACUUCGCAGAAACCUCUCUGUUACUGUCUAGAAACGAUGAUAAAAAUUUCAAAAGGGAUACUAAAUCCCUUCUAUUUUUUUUUUAUUUUUUUUUCUCUAAGACAAUGCCUAUAUACUACUUUUUCAAAUGUCUAUAUCUCUGCUCGUGGACACUACAUUUUGUUGUAACUUCGCAGAAACCUUUCUGUUACUGUCUAGAAACGAUGAUAAAAAUUUCAAAAGGGAUACUCAAUCCCUUCUAUUUUUUUUUAUUUUUUUUUUUUCUCUAAGACAAUGCCUAUAUACUACUUCUUCAAAUGUCUAUAUCUCUGCUCGUGGACACUACAUUUUGUUGUAACUUCGCAGAAACCUUUCUGUUACUGUCUAGAAACGAUGAUAAAAAUUUCAAAAGGGAUACUCAAUCCCUUCUAUUUUUUUUUAUUUUUUUUUUCUCUAAGACAACGCCUAUGUACCAUUUCUUCAAAUGUCUAUAUCUCUGCUCGUGGACACUACAUUUUGUUGCAACUUCGCAGAAACCUUUCUGUUACUAUCUAGAAACGAUGAUAAAAAUUUCAAAAGGGAUACUAAAUCCCUUCUAUUUUUUUUUAUGUUUUUUCUCUAAGACAAUGCCUAUAUACUACUUCUUCAAAUGUUUAUAUCUCUGCUCGUGGACACUACAUUUUAUUAUAACUUCGUAGAAACCUUUCUAUUACUGUCUAGAAACGAUAAUAAAAAUUCCAAAAGGGAUACUCAAUCCCUUCUAUUUUUUUUUUAUUUUUUUUUUUCUCUAAGACAACGCCUAUGUACCAUUUCUUCAAAUGUCUAUAUCUCUGCUCGUGGACACUACAUUUUGUUGCAACUUCGCAGAAACCUUUCUGUUACUAUCGAGAAACGAUGAUAAAAAUUUCAAAAGGGAUACUCAACCCCUUCUAUUUUUUUUAAUUUUUUUUUUUCUCUAAGACAACACCUAUGUACCAUUUCUUCAAAUGUCUAUAUCUCUGCUCGUGGACACUACAUUUUGUUGUAACUUCGCAGAAACCUUUCUGUUACUGUCUAGAAACGAUGAUAAAAAUUUCAAAAGGGAUACUCAAUCCCUUCUAUUUUUUUUAUUUUUUUUUUCUCUAAGACAAUGCCUAUAUACUACUUCUUCAAAUGUCUAUAUCUCUGCUCGUGGACACUACAUUUUAUUGUAACUUCGCAGAAACCUUUCUAUUACUGUCUAAAAAUGAUGAUAAAAAUUUCAAAAGGGAUACUCAACCCUUUCUAAUUUUGUUUAAUUUUUUUUUCUCUAAGACAAUGCCUAUAUAUUACUUCUUCAAAUGUCUAUAUCUCUGCUCGUGGAGACUACAUUUUGUUGUAACUUCGUAGAAACCUUUAUAUUACUAUCUAGAAAUGAUGAUAAAAAUUUCAAAAGGGAUACUCAAUCCCUUCUAUUUUUUUUAUUUUUUUUUUUCUCUAAGACAACGCCUAUGUACCAUUUCUUCAAAUGUCUAUAUCUCUGCUCGUGGACACUACAUUUUGUUGUAACUUCGUAGAAACCUUUCUAUUACUGUCUAAAAACGAUGAUAAAAAUUUCAAAAGGGAUACUCAAUCCCUUCUAUUUUUUUUUAUUUUUUUUUUUCUCUAAGACAACGCCUAUGUACCAUUUCUUCAAAUGUCUAUAUCUCUGCUCGUGGACACUACAUUUUGUUGUAACUUCGCAGAAACCUCUCUGUUACUGUCUAGAAACGAUGAUAAAAAUUUCAAAAGGGAUACUCAAUCCCUUCUAUUUUUUUUAUUUUUUUUUUCUCUAAGACAACGCCUAUGUACCAUUUCUUCAAAUGUCUAUAUCUCUGCUCGUGGACACUACAUUUUGUUGUAACUUCGUAGAAACCUUUAUAUUACUAUCUAGAAACGAUGAUAAAAAUUUCAAAAGGGAUACUCAACCCUUUCUAAACCCUUCUAUGAUUACUUUCACAAAUACAAUAUAAUUGCCUCCUUAGGGAAAUUGCAAUAUUAAAAAAAUAAUCAAAGUGGAUUAUUUAUUUUUUUACCUUUUUUUCUAAUUUUUUUUAAUAUUCUAAACGACCUUUGAUUUAAAUUUUAACCUUAUUUCAUGCCUAAAGACAUAGAUUUUUUGCUUUUAUGUCGAAUUAACCUCCCUGUUUGGGUUUUUAAAUAUAAAAAAUAGAAGGGGUGGAAUUUACCAAAGGGGUGGAGUUACAACCCUUUUGAAAUUUUUAUCAUCGUUUCUAGAUAGUAAUAUAAAGGUUUCUGCGAAGUUACAACAAAAUGUAGUGUCC
rnacentral:misc_RNA from 1 species